GACGAACGCUGGCGGCGUGCCUAAUACAUGCAAGUCGAGCGGAACUGGGGGAGCUUGCUCCUUCCAGUUUAGCGGCGGACGGGUGAGUAACACGUGGGCAACCUGCCCUGCAGAUCGGGAUAACUCCGGGAAACCGGUGCUAAUACCGAAUAGUUUGGCGCCUCUCCUGAGGCGCUACGGAAAGACGGUUUCGGCUGUCACUGCAGGAUGGGCCGGCGGCGCGUUAGCUAGUUGGUGGGGUAACGGCCCACCAAGGCGACGAUGCGUAGCCGACCUGAGAGGGUGACCAGCCACACUGGGACUGGGACACGGCCCAGACUCCUACGGGGGGCAGCAGUAGGGAAUCUUCCGCAAUGGACGCAAGUCUGACGGAGCAACGCCGCGUGAGUGACGAAGGUUUUCGGAUCGUAAAACUCUGUUGUGAGGGAAGAACACGUACCAACUAACUAUUGGUACCUUGACGGUACCUCGCCAGAAAGCCACGGCUAACUACGUGCCAGCAGCCGCAGUAA
rnacentral:rRNA from 1 species